AUGGGGGACCGGAGCAACAUAGGCGGCGGCCUUGGGCUGGUGGCGGCGGUCGCCGUGGUGUCCACCGGCAUCAUCCUGGCCUCAUUCCACCUCCACCGCCGCCUCGGCACCGACCCCAAGACCGACAUCACCGAGCAAGGGCGGCAGAGGAAGAAGAAGGUGCGGUUCGCGGACGAGGUGAUGGUGCCGAAUCCCUUGUCGCUCCUCCGCGAGGAGUACCGCCGUCGGCGGAGGGCCGCCGCCAAUGGCCCCAUCCGGCCGGCGCUGCGUAAGGCCUAG
rnacentral:rRNA from 1 species